rnacentral:rRNA from 1 species
GGGCCCGCACAAGCGGCGGAGCAUGUGGAUUAAUUCGAUGCAACGCGAAGAACCUUACCUGGGUUUGACAUGCACAGGACGUGCCUAGAGAUAGGUAUUCCCUUGUGGCCUGUGUGCAGGUGGUGCAUGGCUGUCGUCAGCUCGUGUCGUGAGAUGUUGGGUUAAGUCCCGCAACGAGCGCAACCCUUGUCUCAUGUUGCCAGCGGGUUAUGCCGGGGACUCGUGAGAGACUGCCGGGGUCAACUCGGAGGAAGGUGGGGAUGACGUCAAGUCAUCAUGCCCCUUAUGUCCAGGGCUUCACACAUGCUACAAUGGCCGGUACAAAGGGCUGCGAUGCCGUGAGGUGGAGCGAAUCCUUUCAAAGCCGGUCUCAGUUCGGAUCGGGGUCUGCAACUCGACCCCGUGAAGUCGGAGUCGCUAGUAAUCGCAGAUCAGCAACGCUGCGGUGAAUACGUUCCCGGGCCUU